GACGAACGCUGGCGGCGUGCCUAAUACAUGCAAGUAGAACGCUGAAGGAGGAGCUUGCUUCUCUGGAUGAGUUGCGAACGGGUGAGUAACGCGUAGGUAACCUGCCUGGUAGCGGGGGAUAACUAUUGGAAACGAUAGCUAAUACCGCAUAAUAGUAGAUGUUGCAUGACAUUUGCUUAAAAGGUGCAAUUGCAUCACUACCAGAUGGACCUGCGUUGUAUUAGCUAGUUGGUGGGGUAACGGCUCACCAAGGCGACGAUUCAUAGCCGACCUGAGAGGGUGAUCGGCCACACUGGGACUGAGACACGGCCCAGACUCCUACGGGAGGCAGCAGUAGGGAAUCUUCGGCAAUGGACGGAAGUCUGACCGAGCAACGCCGCGUGAGUGAAGAAGGUUGUCGGAUCGUAAAGCUCUGUUGUAAGAGAAGAACGAGUGUGAGAGUGGAAAGUUCACACUGAGACGGUAUCUGACCAGAAAGGGACGGCUAACUACGUG
rnacentral:rRNA from 1 species